rnacentral:rRNA from 1 species
UACGAAGGGUGCAAGCGUUACUCGGAAUUACUGGGCGUAAAGCGUGCGCAGGCGGCUUUGCAAGACAGAUGUGAAAUCCCCGGGCUUAACCUGGGAACUGCAUUUGUGACUGCAAGGCUAGAGUACGGUAGAGGGGGAUGGAAUUCCGCGUGUAGCAGUGAAAUGCGUAGAUAUGCGGAGGAACACCGAUGGCGAAGGCAAUCCCCUGGACCUGUACUGACGCUCAUGCACGAAAGCGUGGGGAGCAAACAGG